rnacentral:rRNA from 1 species
CAAUCUAUACCGUGAAACUGCGAAUGGCUCAUUAAAUCAGUUAUCGUUUAYYUKAUAGKACCUACUUACUUGGAUAACCGUGGUAAUUCUAGAGCUAAUACAUGCUAAAAACCUCGACUUCGGAAGGGGUGUAUUUAUUAGAUAAAAAACCAAUGCCCUCCGGGGCUCCCUGGUGAUUCAUAAUAACUAAACGAAUCGCAUGGCCUUGCGCCGGCGAUGGUUCAUUCAAAUUUCUGCCCUAUCAACUUUCGAUGGUAGGAUAGUGGCCUACCAUGGUGGCAACGGGUAACGGGGAAUUAGGGUUCUAUUCCGGAGAGGGAGCCUGAGAAACGGCUACCACAUCCAAGGAAGGCAGCAGGCGCGCAAAUUACCCAAUCCCGACACGGGGAGGUAGUGACAAUAAAUACUGAUGUGGAGCUCUUUAGGGUUUCACAAUUGGAAUGAGAAAAAUCUAAACCACUUAAACGAGGAACAAUUGGAGGGCAAGUCUGGUGCCAGCAGCCGCGGUAAUUCCAGCUCCAAUAGCGUAUAUUAAAGUUGUUGCAGUUAAAAAGCUCGUAGUUGAACCUUGGGCCUGGCCGGCCGGUCCGCCUCACCGCGUGCACUGGUUCGGCCGGGCCUUUCCUCCUGGGGAACCGCAUGCCCUUCACUGGGUGUGCCGGGGAAUCAGGACUUUUACUUUGAAAAAAUUAGAGUGUUCAAAGCAGGCAUUUGCUCGAAUACAUUAGCAUGGAAUAAUAGAAUAGGACGUUGUGGUUCUAUUUUGUUGGUUCUAGGACCGCCGUAAUGAUUAAUG